GGGGAAUAUUGCGCAAUGGGCGGAAGCCUGACGCAGCGACGCCGCGUGGGGGAUGACGGCCUUCGGGUUGUAAACCUCUUUCGCCAGGGACGAAGCGGAAGUGACGGUACCUGGAUAAGAAGCACCGGCCAACUACGUGCCAGCAGCCGCGGUAACACGUAGGGUGCGAGCGUUGUCCGGAAUUAUUGGGCGUAAAGAGCUCGUAGGCGGUCUGUCGCGUCGGUCGUGAAAACCUGCAGCUUAACUGUGGGCUUGCGGUCGAUACGGGCAUGACUGGAGUUCGGCAGGGGAGACUGGAAUUCCUGGUGUAGCGGUGAAAUGCGCAGAUAUCAGGAGGAACACCGGUGGCGAAGGCGGGUCUCUGGGCCGAUACUGACGCUGAGGAGCGAAAGCGUGGGGAGCGAAC
rnacentral:rRNA from 1 species